GCUGCGCACAUUCAACCAAAUUAGCUUCUUCAAAACCAAAACUAUUUUAAUUAACAUCUAUUUAUCUUCAUAACUUCAACAUUAAAAUAUAUCUUAAAAACAAAAAACUUAUUACUGUAAAUUUACUACAAAUAAUUCUGAUAUAUCUUAAAAAAAAUUUAAACUUUAGGAGAGAAUGAACAUUAUAUUUAAUAUAAAGUAAUGCGAGGUCCACUACUUGUUUUUUAUUUUUAUUUAAUCUAAUUUUUAAAUGUCUGUAUCAUAGAAAAAUAUAAAGCGUACGACAGAGAAACAGAACAGCCAUAGAAGGCGUUACUGUUGACGUAAAAGACAGGAACAUAAUCCUAAAGUCUGGUCGAGGUGUGAAAUGGACAUGAUAUAAGUAAGCAAAAUGAAAGAAAUGUGAAUAUAAUGAUAAGUUUUGCAUAUAGAACACUACAGGCACAAAUUUAAAAGGAGCAAUCACUUAGAUCGGGUCAAAAGAUCCUCCUUAGACAAAAUAUCUAAUUAGUAAAGAAAAGGAUAAUAUGACACUUUAAAAAGUACAUUUACUUCAUACUUAAUUUUAGUUAUAUAUAUAUAUAUAUAUAUAUAACUUUUAUUUUCUUUCUGCUGGCACUCAAUUAUAGUUACCACUACACCAACCCUUUACAAGUUGACAAUAUAUUAGAAAAGUCUUGUUUAAUUUUUACCGAUCUCCCUUCUGUUUUUUUUCUUACAAGAUCUGUGAAGAAAAUGGAAAUAUUAAAAAAUAGUUCACUACAAAUAUUAAUUGUUUUAAUUUUUAAAAUUAAAUAAAACAGUAUAACUAUAAUAUAAUCCCUUCAUUAAGUAAUUUUUAAAUUAUACUUAUAUAUAUUUGAAUAAUUGUGGUGUUUUUCAGUAAAAAAUAAAUAUAAAUGAAUUAAAAAUAGAAAAAGAAAAAAGAAAAGAGGAGAAGGAGAAACCAGA
rnacentral:lncRNA from 1 species